CUAAUGGGCCUGGAGUUAGAAUUCCUCAACUUCUCCCAGCCUCAGAGCAGGUGCAGCACAGCCCAUGGCCGUGCAACCUUCCCUUCAAAGGACUCAUUAAUAUUCUUCAACUCUGGACUGGAGAGACCAGCUCUGGGAUAAAAGGAAAAUUGAGUCUCCAUGGCCAAUUCACUCCUUGGCCUCC
rnacentral:sRNA from 1 species